rnacentral:rRNA from 1 species
GGUUAAGUUAGAAAGGGCGCACGGUGGAUGCCUUGGCACUAGGAGCCGAAGAAGGACGGGACUAACACCGAUAUGCUUUGGGGAGCUGUACGUAAGCGUUGAUCCAGAGAUUUCCGAAUGGGGGAACCCACUAUCUUUAGUCGGAUAGUAUCCUUACGUGAAUACAUAGCGUGAGGAAGGCAGACCCAGGGAACUGAAACAUCUAAGUACCUGGAGGAAGAGAAAGAAAAAUCGAUUUCCUGAGUAGCGGCGAGCGAAACGGAAAGAGCCCAAACCAAGAAGCUUGCUUCUUGGGGUUGUAGGACACUCUAUACGGAGUUACAAAAGAAAGUUAUAAAUGAAGCGGUCUGGAAAGGCCCGCCAAAGACGGUAACAGCCCGGUAGUUGAAAUGGCUUUCCCUCCAGAGUGGAUCCUGAGUACGGCGGAACACGUGAAAUUCCGUCGGAAUCCGGGAGGACCAUCUCCCAAGGCUAAAUACUCCCUAGUGACCGAUAGUGAACCAGUACCGUGAGGGAAAGGUGAAAAGCACCCCGGAAGGGGAGUGAAACAGUUCCUGAAACCGUGUGCCUACAAGUAGUUAGAGCCCGUUAAUGGGUGAUAGCGUGCCUUUUGUAGAAUGAACCGGCGAGUUACGAUUUGUUGCAAGGUUAAGCGGAAAAAGCGGAGCCGUAGCGAAAGCGAGUCUGAAUAGGGCGCAUAAGUAACAGGUCGUAGACCCGAAACCAGGUGAUCUACCCAUGUCCAGGAUGAAGGUAAGGUAAUACUUACUGGAGGUCCGAACCCACGCACGUUGAAAAGUGCGGGGAUGAGGUGUGGGUAGCGGAGAAAUUCCAAUCGAACUUGGAGAUAGCUGGUUCUCUCCGAAAUAGCUUUAGGGCUAGCCUCGAGGUAAAGAGUCAUGGAGGUAGAGCACUGUUUGGACUAGGGGCCCUUCUCGGGUUACCGAAUUCAGAUAAACUCCGAAUGCCAUGUA